GCUGGCGGCACGCUUAACACAUGCAAGUCGAACGAGAUCUUCGGAUCUAGUGGCAGACGGGUGCGUAACGCGUGGGAACCUGCCCUUUAGUAAGGAAUAACUUUAGGAAACUGAAGCUAAUACCUUAUAAUCCCUUCGGGGGAAAGCUUUAUGCGCUAAUGGAUGGGCCCGCGUUAGAUUAGCUUGUUGGUGAGGUAAAGGCUCACCAAGGCUACGAUCUAUAGCUGGUCUGAGAGGAUGAUCAGCCACACUGGGACUGAGACACGGCCCAGACUCCUACGGGAGGCAGCAGUGGGGAAUAUUGGACAAUGGGGGCAACCCUGAUCCAGCGAUGCCGCGUGAGUGAUGAAGGCCCUAGGGUUGUAAAACUCUUUCGCCAGGGAAGAUAAUGACGGUACCUGGUAAAGAAGAUCCGGCUAACUCCGUGCCAGCAGCCGCGGUAAUACGGAGGGAUCUAGCGUUAUUCGGAAUAACUGGGCGUAAAGCGAGCGUAGGCGGAUUUGUAAGUUGGAGGUGAAAUCCCAGGGCUUAACCCUGGAACUGCCUUCAAAACUACAUUUCUUGAGUUUGGUAGAGGAGAGUGGAAUUCCUAGUGUAGAGGUGAAAUUCGUAGAUAUUAGGAGGAACACCAGUGGCGAAGGCGACUCUCUGGGCCAAUACUGACGCUGAGGUUCGAAAGCGUGGGUAGCGAACAGGAUUAGAUACCCUGGUAGUCCACGCAGUAAACGAUGAGUGCUAGAUGUUGGGAACAUUAGUUUUCAGUAUCGCAGCUAACGCGUUAAGCACUCCGCCUGG
rnacentral:rRNA from 1 species